UGUUAGCAAUGGAGACACUGCCACAAGAU
rnacentral:piRNA from 1 species